GCACCCGUAGCUCAGCUGGAUAGAGUAGCGGCUUCCGAAGCCGUUGGUCACAGGUUCGAAUCCUGUCGGGUGCGCCA
rnacentral:tRNA from 2 species